UACGAAGGGGGCUAGCGUUGCUCGGAAUCACUGGGCGUAAAGGGCGCGUAGGCGGAUCUUUAAGUCAGGGGUGAAAGCCUGAGGCUACAACCCUCAGAAUUGCCUUUGAUACUGAAGAUCUUGAGACCGGAAGAGGUUAGUGGAACUGCGAGUGUAGAGGUGAAAUUCGUAGAUAUUCGCAAGAACACCAGUGGCGAAGGCGGCUAACUGGUCCGGUUCUGACGCUGAGGCGCGAAAGCGUGGGGAGCAAACAGGG
rnacentral:rRNA from 1 species